AUUGAACGCUGGCGGCAGGCCUAACACAUGCAAGUCGAAUGGUAACAGGAAACAGCUUGCUGUUUCGCUGACGAGUGGCGGACGGGUGAGUAAUGUCUGGGAAACUGCCUGAUGGAGGGGGAUAACUACUGGAAACGGUAGCUAAUACCGCAUAACGUCGCAAGACCAAAGAGGGGGACCUUCGGGCCUCUUGCCAUCAGAUGUGCCCAGAUGGGAUUAGCUAGUAGGUGGGGUAACGGCUCACCUAGGCGACGAUCCCUAGCUGGCCUGAGAGGAUGACCAGCCACACUGGAACUGAGAAACGGUCCAGACUCCUACGGGAGGCAGCAGUGGGGAAUAUGGCACAAUGGGCGCAAGCCUGAUGCAGCCAUGCCGCGUGUAUGAAGAAGGCCUUCGGGUUGUAAAGUACUUUCAGCGGGGAGGAAGGGAGUAAAGUUAAGACCUUUGCUCAUUGACGUGACCCGCAGAAGAAGCACCGGCUAACUCCGU
rnacentral:rRNA from 1 species